UUUCGCUAAACAGACGGGGGGGGGCGGCAGCUCUAUACAUGCAAGUUUUUAUUGGGGGCCCCCCCCCGAGCUGCUCUGUGAGUGGCGAGUGGCGGACGGGUGAGGAAUACAUGGGAAUCUGCCCAGUCGUGGGGGAUAACGUAUGGAAACGUACGCUAAUACCGCAUGCGCCCUACGGGGGAAAGCCGGGGACUCUUCGGACCUGGCGUGAUUGGAUGAGCCCAUGUUCGAUUAGCUAGUUGGCGGGGUAAAGUCCCAUCAAGGCGACGAUCGAUAGCUGGUCUGAGAGGAUGAUCAGCCACACUGGGUCUGAGACACGGCCCAGACUCCUACGGGAGGCAGCAGUAGGGAAUAUUGGACAAUGGGCGCAAGCGUGAUCCAGCCAUGCCGCGUGAGUGAAGAAGGCCCUCGGGUUGUAAAGCUCUUUUGUCCGGAAAGAAAAGCAUUCGGUUAAUACCCGGGUGUUCUGACGGUACCGGAAGAAUAAGCACCGGCUAACUUCGUGCCAGCAGCCGCGGUAAUACGAAGGGUGCAAGCGUUACUCGGAAUUACUGGGCGUAAAGCGUGCGUAGGUGGUUUGUUAAGUCUGAUGUGAAAGCCCUGGGCUCAACCUGGGAAUGGCACUGGAUACUGGCAAGCUAGAGUGUGGCAGAGGGUAGUGGAAUUCCUGGUGUAGCAGUGAAAUGCGUAGAGAUCAGGAGGAACAUCCGUGGGGAAGGGGACUGCCUGGGCCAACACUGACACUGAGGCACGAAAGCGUGGGGAGCAAACAGGAUUAGAUACCCUGGUAGUCCACGCCCUAAACGAUGCGAACUGGAUGUUGGGUGCAAUUUGGCACGCAGUAUCGAAGCUAACGCGUUAAGUCGCCGCCUGUGAGACGACG
rnacentral:rRNA from 1 species